AGAAAUAAAAUGUUGCAUUUAAACGGUUAAUUGUUUCCCCAAUUAACUACAUGCCGAAUUAACCGCCACCAAAGACCCAGAUAUAAUCCUUAAUAAUCUUGGUCCAUAUAGGUGAAGCGAGAGUGUAAAAUUGCCCUUGAUGUGGUUUCAGUUACGUUCCAAUAAAGUAUGACAACUUGAUCUUUUUUGUUUGUUUGUUUUUUUCCAUAGAGAGGACCAGAGGCUCAUUUAAUAAAUCCGAUCCACGAUGAGGAGCACAAGGAGAAGGAGAACAUCGCAACCCCUUCCCAGCAAGAACAGAAGGCAGGGAAGGUGCAUGUGGGUAUGUGCAUCAUGUGCUUGCUGGCGCACAACCAUGAGGAAAACGAGCGCUGGAUGAGUGCAUCACUGUAUUCACAGCUUGUUAGUCUACCCCCUGUGUAAAUAUGCUGCUAGUAUGAAUUCCGGACAAAGGGUAGGCUUAAAGGUGAGCUCGGUCGGAAGGCAGAGUAAGCCUACCUUUCUUACCUUUUCAAAGUGUGGCACUGAUGUAUACCUGUACUGGAUUGGAACUUGAAAUGGGGCAAGUUGAAACAAUAUCUGAAAUCCCCCAAAACAAACAAGCUCACUAUAUUUAUCAGUUAGUCCAUGAUGUAUAUAUCCCCCCCUCUAACAAACUAUACCAUUUAGACAUUUAUUGGGAACUCCUCAUAAUUCAAGCAGAGUUCUAGCUGGUUAGUCCAAACUGCCUAUCU
ensembl:lncRNA